UCCUCUUAGCUGGCUUCUCACGCUCGGCACUCCCAUCCGCUCAUUUUUCCUGCUUUUGUCUUAAUAUCUCUAUCGUGCGAGACAAUCCAUCCAAUCUCUCUCCAUCUUCAUUUCUUCUCUUCCUCAAACGAAGCCCACACACUCUGCUCACGCCAACCUUGAGAUCUUCAAUCAAGCUACUUCUCUCCACUAGUUGCUGUCCCCCGCCAGUCAACUCUCCUCACCGCUGAAGACUCGAGCAAGCAUCCGUGUGGUCUUCUCCAGCUCGUGGCCACCGGAACUACAGCUGCCACGUCCGAAGAUCUCUCCCGGUUUCUACCAGCACGCCUCCACCAUCUUUUGUUCCCCAGUCAAACCAGUCGGUUUGUUGAUCGCUGCAUCAUCUCCAGCAGCUUCACGUGCCGCGCCGUUGCCUCGUCCAACCCAUGCCCACGAAGCCCAACGCCAGCUCACUUCACGGGUCAACGAAGCAGCUCCAUUCUCUCGGUUGUUGACCGCCAAACGUCCACGAAGUUGCUCCAUCAUCCGCACGCCUCUGCCUGCGCCCUACAAAGCAGGGCUCCACGCGUCUUCAGCUUCUGCCGGUUGCUGCCAGAUUCGGUCAACCAAUGGAGUCACUCCACCGGCUGUUGACCCAGCGAAGCCACUUGCCGUGUGUCUUCAGUUCGCCGAGGUGCCCCCGUAGCUGCUUCACGCCCACGACGCCAGCUACCGUUCCCUUCCACUAGCAUCAAAGACCCCAGCUCCUCUCCUUGCUGCUUCUUGGUUCCGCUCAUCCACCGAAGACGCCAGGGAGUAGCUCCCUUCUUCGCCUGCGUCUUCUUCAGUUCGUGGAUCAGCCGCAACAAGCCAGUCCAUCAAGCUUAGCGAAGACCAGGCCCACGGAUCCUCCUCCAUUUCCAUCGCAGCUCAUAUUGGGCUUUCUUGUUCAGCCCACAAUCAUUGGAUUCUAGCCCAGCAGUUGGGUCAUUUGAAGCCCCCACGACAAGCCAAGUUCGGUCCAAGCUCAGUCAGCCCAUCUUUAGUUGUUGUCCAGUUGAAAUUACUCCAGCAGCAGCCCACUUGAUUUCAGCCCAAUACAACAGCCAGGCCCACCGAAUCAGUGGACUCAGCCCAGCAAAGCUCUCAAUUCAGCCAAAGAGAGCUUCAGCUUCAGCCCAUUAAUUUCAGUCUUGUUUCAAGCCCAGUUCAGCUAGUGCAGUUAGUUCAGUCCAGAAAUUCAGCAGGUCCAGCCCAUUCCAGUGCAAGAACAAAUCUCAAUUGGGCUGAGAUUUGUUGGGCCUAAGCUUAAGGCCCGGUCCAAGUCUGCCGGUGUCGUCGAAAGCCCGAUUUCGGCCGCCGUCGCGUCGCCGUUGCGGUGAUUCGGUUCCCGCUUUUGAUCAAGUGAGUUUUACUCACUAAUGCUUUAUUAGUUUGCUAAUUAUGCCUUAGGGUUGGUUAGAUUUAAUUACAUGCACUUAGGUGGUUAGAUUAGGUUAGAAUAAUUAAAUUAGUGACUUGAGGAUGCAUGUUAGGUGGUUAGACCUAGCUAUUAGCAAGUAGAAAUGUUUGGUUAUUUAUUGAAUGUAUCUCGGGAUUUUUCCCGACCCGUUUCGGGCUCCAAUAAGGCAAUAUAGGCCUAAAUUGGAUUUUUAAUAUUUAUUUAUUUAUUUUUCGAAAUUAAUUAUUUAAUUAAUUAUUUUUCCGGAAAUUCAACCGGGAUGGCCGGUGACCGGAAUUUCGUGCUGAUUGUCGUGGUGCAGUCCGUUUAUUUAUUUGAGCUCUACGUUGUGUGGAAUUGAAUUUAUUGUGGAAUUUUAGGAAUUGUCCUAAAUUGUUUGUUAUUGAAUAUUUGAUUGAUGGAUGGCUGAGUAUGGAUAUAUAGCGCCAGUACGUUGAUGGGCUAUAUAGUAGGGAGAAUGGUGAGAGCUAACUGAGAACGUUAUUGGCUAAGACCAAUCAGGUACGAUGUUAUUGGACAUACGUGGUUCGGUGAUUGGAAGUAUCACUGGCGAAAACGGCGCCUUAAAGAACGCACGUAAAUGACUUAUAGACACACGUGGUUCGGUGGUUAUGGGAAUAUCACUGGUGAAAACGGCGCCUUAAAGAACGCACGAUGUUGUCUAUAGCCGAUGUCACCUUGGCGAAAACGACGCCCUUGAAAGGACACGUGGUUCGGUGAUCAAGGUUAUCACUGGUGAAAACGGCGCCUUAAAGAACGCACGGUGUCGGUGAUCGGUAUGUCAUUGGCGAAAACGACGCCCGAGAAACACAUGUGAUUUGGGGAAUGAGUACACCACUGAGAAAGUGUGGUAUGAGUGGGAAUGACCUAGAAAGGGUCUGGCUGACAUGUAAUCGACUUAGUCGAUUGAUCAAUGCUUGAUCGGAUGUCGUGAAUUGUUUGAAUAUCUGUGUUUAACCUUGAAUUGCAGGUUGGAACUGAGGCCAAGGUAAGUCCUUUGACUCGUGUUGUGCUUAGGCAACCGUAUGGCGUAUUAGUUUAUUAAUCGGGUCUUAGUGGGUAGGACUCGCUGAGACGUGGUCUCAUUGGUUAUUGAAUAACCAUUUCAGGACCCUGAGGAGGAGCUAAGGAAGAGGAACCUGAAGGGGAGAAAGUAUUUUGAAGUAGAAGAUGAUCCAGAGAGGGAUCUUGAAAAUAACCCAGAUGUGGAUUGGGAUCCCAUCCCUUUUGUGAACCCUGUUUCAGUGUAGAUAGGUGUCAGACUUUUAUGCUGUAAAUAGUAUUGUAAUAUGCUAUGAGUUGUGCUGUUAAUGAAAGUGUGGUUGUGAAUUUCAAUAUGAAAAAUAUGGCCUGCUUUCCUAUCCCAUUGUUUUAUUGUCUGGGGAUUUAUAACUGCUUCCGCAUGUGUUUAAUAAAAAGAAAGGGUCGGCGAUACAUAGUCCUGGGAUAUCGCAUUAUAAAAUCGACCAAAUAGAAGGAUGUGCGCG
rnacentral:lncRNA from 1 species